rnacentral:rRNA from 1 species
UACAGAGGUCUCAAGCGUUGUUCGGAUUCAUUGGGCGUAAAGGGUGCGUAGGCGGCGCGGUAAGUCGGAUGUGAAAUCUCGGAGCUUAACUCCGAAACUGCAUUCGAUACUGCCGUGCUUGAGGACUGGAGAGGAGACUGGAAUUUACGGUGUAGCGGUGAAAUGCGUAGAUAUCGGAAGGAAGACCAGUGGCGAAGGCGGGUCUCUGGACAGUUCCUGACGCUGAGGCACGAAGGCCAGGGGAGCAAACGGG